UACGAAGGGGGCUAGCGUUGCUCGGAAUCACUGGGCGUAAAGGGUGCGUAGGCGGGUCUUUAAGUCAGGGGUGAAAUCCUGGGCUCAACUCCAGAACUGCCUUUGAUACUGAGGAUCUUGAGUUCGGGAGAGGUGAGUGGAACUGCGAGUGUAGAGGUGAAAUUCGUAGAUAUUCGCAAGAACACCAGUGGCGAAGGCGGCUCACUGGCCCGAUACUGACGCUGAGGCACGAAAGCGUGGGGAGCAAACAGGG
rnacentral:rRNA from 1 species